UGGCUCUCGCAUCGAUGAAGAACGCAGCGAAAUGCGAUAAGUAAUGUGAAUUGCAGAAUUCAGUGAAUCAUCGAAUCUUUGAACGCACCUUGCACUCUUUGGUAUUCCGAGGAGUAUGCCUGUUUGAGUGUCAUUAAUUUCUCAAAUCUCAAAGCAGUUUCAUCUGAAUUUGAGACUUUGGAUCAUGGGAGCUUUGCAGGCUUUCAAGUCUGCUCUCCUUAAAUGUAUUAGUGGUUACUAAUUGACCAUGAUUUGGUGUGAUAAAUAUCUACUCCAAUGGGUUUAAAAUGGUAACUGCUUCCAACUGUCCAUUGAUUUGGACAAUUUUUUGAUUUGACCUCAAAUCAGGUAGGAUUACCCGCUGA
rnacentral:misc_RNA from 1 species